rnacentral:rRNA from 1 species
GUGAGUCAUCGAAUCUUUGAACGCACCUUGCGCUCCUUGGUAUUCCGAGGAGCAUGCCUGUUUGAGUGUCAUUAAUAUACUCAACCCUUCUCUUUUUGAGAGUGGUUUGGAUGUGGGGGUUUGCUGGCCUUUCAAAAGGUUUCAGCUCCCCUGAAAUGCAUUAGCAGAACAACCUUGCUCAUUGGUGUGAUAACUAUCUACGCUUAUGAAUGUGAGGGACAGUUCAGCUUUCAAACUGUCUUUGGACAAAUCAUCAUUAAUGUGACCUCAAAUCAGGUAGGACUACCCGCUGAACUUAAGCAUAUCAAUAAGCGGAGG